CAUAUUGAUACCCCUACAAGACAAUAUCUCCCACUACUAUUUUGGUGUCUAAAGUUUGUUAGUUUUCUGCCAUUUUUAAAAACAGAUGAAACCGACAGAAAAGUCCAUUCACUGAAAUUGUGAUUCAGCCCAAUAGUCUGCAUGCUAAACUCCCCCAUGAAGAGUGUUUGUCUAUUGUAAUUUUCCAAGCUACAAAUACUGUAAUGCAGUUUCCAACCUCUCAUAAUUAAUCACAAUUACUUACAGCAGUAUUAAGAAUGAUAACUAUUUGGGCCAGUAAUGGACUACGAUGGACACCAAUGUUCUGUCCUUCUUGUGAAUGAAUCCAAGAUCAGCUGCUUGAAAGCUGUCGACAGCAAUAUCAGGGCACAGCUGCAGAGAAAAUGAUUCAACCUCCAUAUGCUGCCACUGUGAAUACUAUACCAUAAUUCAUAAAUAUGAAGAGUGAAAGUAUCAUUAUUCAAUGUCCCUGAAGAAAAUGAAAGCCUAUGUUUUUUUAGUAUUCAUCCAUUUUGCAGCAUGAUUUAAUUUAAUUUUAAUGUAUGCAUUAUUUUCCUUAGCAAAGGCUUGAUAUGGUAAAAUAAUCAAAUACUGAAUCAAUAUGCAAUGAAGUGUUCUGAUAUCCUUUUCUAUUAGUUUAUAUUAUUAUUAAAGCACGAUAUUGUCUGAAUAUUUUUAGAGAUGUUUACUAUCAUACCUUACCACUACUACAAAAUGUAUUUAUUUGAUAGUGUCAUAGAAAAAAUCUUGCACAGGCUAUCUGAAUUAUGUUAAAUGAAAUAUGUUCACUGUCUUAAUUAUUCUAUACGAUUAAAAUCAAAGGCAGCUGGGAUAAAAACUGAAGUCUAAACAUGCCAUAUAUAUCAUAUGUACAACAGGGCACAUAGAAGUCAAAAGGUCAUUAUUUUUCUGAAAAUUACAUAUUCUCAUGCAAAAUCUGAUAGUCUUUAUUGAUGGACAAUGUCAUAAAGCCAUCACUGUGUUUAUAGACAUUUAAUUGAAGACAGCAUAAAACGAUAAACUAAGAAACAUGCAUGGUUGACUCCUCCAAUUCAAACCAUAAAUCAUACUGAUGUUCAGACAAGUCGCCCAGACACAAAUUCUGAUGAUAGAUGAACCAUUUAACUUUGAUUUUUGAAAGCAAUGAGCUCGCUAGCAAUACCUCACACUGACUAAUACCACAUAUGGUCAUAUAAGAACUCAUCAAAAAUCCAUUUUUCCCUUGUGUGGAUGCUAAAAUUAUCUUCUAAAUGAUCAUUAUUAAAAGUAUGCAGUGUGUAACAUCUUUCUAAUGUGCAUAGCUGGAUUCAAAGUCUACUUGCUUCAGUAAGCAAUGAUUUUAUCACUAUUGCUAAUCUUAAAAGAAGGGCUCUUAAAAUAUAAAUAAAAAAGAUGAGGUAAUCUGUAGAAUUAAUUUA
rnacentral:lncRNA from 1 species